rnacentral:rRNA from 1 species
GAUGAACGCUGGCGACAUGGAUAAGGCAUGCAAGUUGAAUGGCCCAGAUUUUUAUUUGGGACCCAUAGCAGACGAGGUAGUAACACGUGGGAACGUACCCCUUAGUCAAGGAUAACCUGUGGAAACGCAGAAUAAUACUUGAUAGUCUCUUCGGAGUAAAGAUUUAUCGCUAAGGGAGCGGCCUGCGGGGUAUCAGCUAGUUGGUAAGGUAAAAGCUUACCAAGGCUACGACGCCUAGGGGAGGUGAGAGCCUGACCCCCACCGAUGGAACUGAGACACGGUCCAUACACCUACGGGUGGCCGCAGUCGAGAAUCUUCCGCAAUGGACGAAAGUCUGACGGAGCGAUGUCGCGUGAUCGAUGAAGUCCUUCGGGAUGUAAAGGUCUUUUAUGAAGGAGGAAGUUUAUUGACGUUACUUCAUGAAUAAGGGGUUCCUAAACUCG